rnacentral:rRNA from 1 species
UUAUAUGAGAGUUUGAUCCUGGCUCAGGACGAACGCUGGCGGCGUGCCUAAUACAUGCAAGUAGGACGCACAGUUUAUACCGUAGCUUGCUACACCAUAGACUGUGAGUUGCGAACGGGUGAGUAACGCGUAGGUAACCUACCUAUUAGAGGGGGGUAACUAUUGGAAACGAUAGCUAAUACCGCAUAACAGUAUGUAACACAUGUUAGAUGCUUGAAAGAUGCAAUUGCAUCGCUAGUAGAUGGACCUGCGUUGUAUUAGCUAGUAGGUAGGGUAAUGG